rnacentral:rRNA from 1 species
AACGCGAAGAACCUUACCUGGGCUCGAAAUGGAGUGGACCGGGGUGGAAACAUCCCUUUUCGCAAGAACUGCUCUAUAGGUGCUGCAUGGCUGUCGUCAGCUCGUGUCGUGAGAUGUUGGGUUAAGUCCCGCAACGAGCGCAACCCUUAUCGUUAGUUGCCAUCGGGUCAAGCCGGGCACUCUAGCGAAACCGCUUCGGAUAACGGAGAGGAAGGUGGGGAUGACGUCAAGUCCUCAUGGCCUUUAUGUCCAGGGCUACACACGUGCUACAAUGGCCGGUAUAAAACGUCGCAAACCCGCGAGGGGGAGCUAAUCGGAAAAAGCCGGCCUCAGUUCGGAUUGGAGUCUGCAAUUCGACUCCAUGAAGCUGGAAUCGCUAGUAAUCGCGGAUCAGAACGCCGCGGUGAAUACGUUCCCGGGCCUUGUACACACCGCGAGC